rnacentral:rRNA from 1 species
GACGUAGGGUGCAAGCGUUGUCCGGAUUUACUGGGCGUAAAGAGCGCGUAGGCGGUCUUGUAAGUGUGAAGUGAAAUCUCCAGGGCUCAACCCGGAAACUGCUUUGCAUACUGCGAGACUAGAGGGAUGCAGAGGUUUGUGGAAUUCCUGGUGUAGCGGUGAAAUUCGUUGAUAUCAGGAGGAACACCCAUGGCGAAGGCAGCAAACUGGGCAUCAUCUGACGCUGAGGCGCGAAAGCGUGGGUAGCAAACAGG